rnacentral:rRNA from 1 species
UACGUAGGGCGCGAGCGUUGUCCGGAAUUAUUGGGCGUAAAGAGCUCGUAGGCGGCCUGUUGCGUCCGCUGUGAAAUCCCAGGGCUCAACCCUGGGCGUGCAGUGGAUACGGGCAGGCUGGAGGCAGGCAGGGGAGAACGGAAUUCCCGGUGUAGCGGUGAAAUGCGCAGAUAUCGGGAGGAACACCGGUGGCGAAAGCGGCUUCCUGGUCCAGCACCGACGUUCAGGCACGAAAGCGUGGGGAGCAAACAGG